rnacentral:rRNA from 1 species
AUUGAACGCUGGCGGCAUGCCUUACACAUGCAAGUCGAACGGCAGCACGGGCGCUUGCACCUGGUGCCGAGUGGCGAACGGGUGAGAAUAUAUCGGAACGUACCUUACUGUGGGGGAUAACGCAGCGAACGCCGUGCUAAUACCGUAUAAUCCUUAAGGGGGACAGCGGGGGACCGUAAGGCCUCGCGCAACUAGACCGGCCGUUACCUGAUUAGCUAGUAGGAGAGGUAAAGGCUCACCAAGGCAACGAUCGGUAGCUGGUCUGAGAGGACGAGCAGCCACACUGGGACUGAGACGCGGCCCAGACUCCUACGGGAGGCAGCAGUGGGGAAUUUUGGACAAUGGGGGCAACCCUGAUCCAGCAAUGCCGCGUGAGUGAAGAAGGCCUUCGGGUUGUAAAGCUCUUUUGUCAGGGAAGAAACAGCAGCUCUAACACAGUAUGCGAAUGACGGUACCUGAAGAAUAAGCACCGGCUAACUACGUGCCAGCCGCCGCCGUAACAC